rnacentral:rRNA from 1 species
CCUACGGUGGGCAGCAGUGGGGGAUAUUGGACAAUGGGGGAAACCCUGAUCCAGCGAUGCCGCGUGAGGGAAGAAGGUUUUCGGAUUGUAAACCUCUGUGGGGGGGGACGAUAAUGCCGGUACCCCUUUAGCAAGCCACGGACCAUUACGUUACAGCAGGCGCGGGAUUACGUAGGUGGCGAGGGUUGUCCGGAAUUACUGGGUGUAAAGGGAGUGUAGGCGGGAAAGCAAGUCAGAAGUGAAAACUAUGGGCUUAACCCAUAGCCUGCUGUUUAAACUGUUUUUCUUGAGUGAGGUAGAGGCACGCGGAAUUCCUAGUGUAGCGGUGAAAUGCGUAGAUAUUAGGAGGAACACCAGUGGCGAAGGCGGCUUGCUGGGCUUUUACUGACGCUGAGGCUCGAAAGCGUGGGGAGCAAACAGGAUUAGAUACCCUAGUAGUC